rnacentral:rRNA from 1 species
UACGUAGGUGGCAAGCGUUGUUCGGAAUUACUGGGCGUAAAGCGUACGUAGGCGGCUUUGUAAGUCAGAGGUGAAAGCCCACGACUCAAUCGUGGAACUGCCUUUGAGACUGCUUCGCUUGAAGAUGGGAGAGGUUAGUGGAAUUCCGAGUGUAGAGGUGAAAUUCGUAGAUAUUCGGAAGAACACCAGUGGCGAAGGCGGCUAACUGGACCAUUCUUGACGCUGAGGUACGAAAGCUAGGGGAGCGAAUGGG